rnacentral:rRNA from 1 species
AUUGAACGCUGGCGGCAGGCCUAACACAUGCAAGUCGAGCGGCAGCGGGAAAGUAGCUUGCUACUUUUGCCGGCGAGCGGCGGACGGGUGAGUAAUGCCUGGGAAAUUGCCCAGUCGAGGGGGAUAACAGUUGGAAACGACUGCUAAUACCGCAUACGCCCUACGGGGGAAAGCAGGGGACCUUCGGGCCUUGCGCGAUUGGAUAUGCACAGGUGGGAUUAGCUAGUUGGUGAGGUAAUGGCUCACCAAGGCGACGAUCCCUAGCUGGUCUGAGAGGAUGAUCAGCCACACUGGAACUGAGACACGGUCCAGACUCCUACGGGAGGCAGCAGUGGGGAAGAUUGCACCAUGGGGGAAACCCUGAUACGGCCAUGCCGCGUGUGUGAAGAAGGCCUUCGGGUUGUAAAGCACUUUCAGCGAGGAGGAAAGGUUGAUGCCUAAUACGUAUCAACUGUGACGUUACUCGCAGAAGAAGCACCGGCUAACUCCGUGCCAGCCGCCGCCGUAAUAC